AUUGAACGCUGGCGGAACGCUUUACACAUGCAAGUCGAACGGCAGCACGGGUGCUUGCACCUGGUGGCGAGUGGCGAACGGGUGAGUAAUACAUCGGAACGUACCCAGUUGUGGGGGAUAACUAACCGAAAGGUUAGCUAAUACCGCAUACGACCUGAGGGUGAAAGCGGGGGAGCGUAAGGCCUCGCGCAAUUGGAGCGGCCGAUGUCUGAUUAGCUAGUUGGGAGGGUAAAGGCCUGCCGAGGCGACGAUCAGUAGCUGGUCUGAGAGGAUGAUCAGCCACACUGGAACUGGGACACGGUCCAGACUCCUACGGGAGGCAGCAGUGGGGAAUUUUGGACAAUGGGCGAAAGCCUGAUCCAGCCAUUCCGCGUGAGUGAAGAAGGCCUUCGGGUUGUAAAGCUCUUUCGGCAGGGAAGAAACGGCCUAGGUUAAUACCUUGGGCUAAUGACGGUACCUGAAGAAGAAGCACCGGCUAACUACGUGCCAGCAGCCGCCGUAA
rnacentral:rRNA from 1 species